AUCACCUGGAGAUUUAGUUGAAAUGCAGGUUCUGAUUUAGCAGGUCAGGGAUGGGGCUGCAAGUCUGCAUUUCUAAUAAGUUCCCAGCCAAUGACAAU
rnacentral:pre_miRNA from 1 species